GUAGCGGCGAGCGAACGGGGAGCAGCCCAGAGCCUGAAUCAGUGUGUGUGUUAGUGGAAGCGUCUGGAAAGGCGCGCGAUACAGGGUGACAGCCCCGUACACAAAAAUGCACAUACUGUGAGCUCGAUGAGUAGGGCGGGACACGUGGUAUCCUGUCUGAAUAUGGGGGGACCAUCCUCCAAGGCUAAAUACUCCUGACUGACCGAUAGUGAACCAGUACCGUGAGGGAAAGGCGAAAAGAACCCCGGCGAGGGGAGUGAAAAAGAACCUGAAACCGUGUACGUACAAGCAGUGGGAGCACGCUUAGGCGUGUGACUGCGUACCUUUUGUAUAAUGGGUCAGCGACUUAUAUUCUGUAGCAAGGUUAACCGAAUAGGGGAGCCGAAGGGAAACCGAGUCUUAACUGGGCGUUAAGUUGCAGGGUAUAGACCCGAAACCCGGUGAUCUAGCCAUGGGCAGGUUGAAGGUUGGGUAACACUAACUGGAGGACCGAACCGACUAAUGUUGAAAAAUUAGCGGAUGACUUGUGGCUGGGGGUGAAAGGCCAAUCAAACCGGGAGAUAGCUGGUUCUCCCCGAAAGCUAUUUAGGUAGCGCCUCGUGAAUUCAUCUCCGGGGGUAGAGCACUGUUUCGGCAAGGGGGUCAUCCCGACUUACCAACCCGAUGCAAACUGCGAAUACCGGAGAAUGUUAUCACGGGAGACACACGGCGGGUGCUAACGUCCGUCGUGAAGAGGGAAACAACCCAGACCGCCAGCUAAGGUCCCAAAGUCAUGGUUAAGUGGGAAACGAUGUGGGAAGGCCCAGACAGCCAGGAUGUUGGCUUAGAAGCAGCCAUCAUUUAAAGAAAGCGUAAUAGCUCACUGGUCGAGUCGGCCUGCGCGGAAGAUGUAACGGGGCUAAACCAUGCACCGAAGCUGCGGCAGCGACGCUUAUGCGUUGUUGGGUAGGGGAGCGUUCUGUAAGCCUGCGAAGGUGUGCUGUGAGGCAUGCUGGAGGUAUCAGAAGUGCGAAUGCUGACAUAAGUAACGAUAAAGCGGGUGAAAAGCCCGCUCGCCGGAAGACCAAGGGUUCCUGUCCAACGUUAAUCGGGGCAGGGUGAGUCGACCCCUAAGGCGAGGCCGAAAGGCGUAGUCGAUGGGAAACAGGUUAAUAUUCCUGUACUUGGUGUUACUGCGAAGGGGGGACGGAGAAGGCUAUGUUGGCCGGGCGACGGUUGUCCCGGUUUAAGCGUGUAGGCUGGUUUUCCAGGCAAAUCCGGAAAAUCAAGGCUGAGGCGUGAUGACGAGGCACUACGGUGCUGAAGCAACAAAUGCCCUGCUUCCAGGAAAAGCCUCUAAGCAUCAGGUAACAUCAAAUCGUACCCCAAACCGACACAGGUGGUCAGGUAGAGAAUACCAAGGCGCUUGAGAGAACUCGGGUGAAGGAACUAGGCAAAAUGGUGCCGUAACUUCGGGAGAAGGCACGCUGAUAUGUAGGUGAAGUCCCUCGCGGAUGGAGCUGAAAUCAGUCGAAGAUACCAGCUGGCUGCAACUGUUUAUUAAAAACACAGCACUGUGCAAACACGAAAGUGGACGUAUACGGUGUGACGCCUGCCCGGUGCCGGAAGGUUAAUUGAUGGG
rnacentral:rRNA from 1 species